rnacentral:pre_miRNA from 1 species
UUACUAUUCCCUCCGUCCGAAAAUACUUGUCGGAGAAAUGGAUAAAAACGAAUGUAUCUAGAACUAAAAUACAUCUAGAUACAUCCAUUCCUCCGACAAGUAUUUCCGGACAGAGGGGGUAUGAG